UACAAGUUGGUGAAAAUUACAAACUUUAAUAACAAAUUACUUAAAAACUAUAAAGUUGCGCGCUUUGAAACUUCAUACAGGGAACUAUUAGACCCCCAUCUACCUCCCAUAUUUUCCUUAAUGCUGAACUCCGGGGUUAGCAAUCUAAAGCCCAUCCCAGUGUUUUCAUGUAAGUUGCACCAAUGGAAGUGUCCAUCAGUUCGGUGAAAUCAAUGAAGCACAAAUGGAGGCAAAUCAACACAUACACAUACAUGACAUAUAUAUCUCCUUCAACGAAAGAGAGAACAUCGCUUAUUAUGAAAGCAUGCUAGGGCCAGUGCCAAUUGCAAAGCUUUUGUAUAAGCGCUGGACGUGUUCGAAAUAAUGCGGAAUCUACUGUUUUAAUGCCACACAUUCCUUGGAACAUCCUCUGCUGUUUAUAGCUGGAGCGCACAAUGCUGUUUUCUACAAAGACUGCGCUAACGAUCUGCCAACUGAUAUUCAAUUAGAUGAUUAUAUCUUGUCCACUGACUUUCUCUGGCCAUUUGGUCAAGUUUUAUCUUAAAGCUAAAACUAUAGACUUUCCUAAAGUCUAUUGAAAGGCCGAUAUUGCGCAAUGUCUUUGUGUGGUUUAGGGGCUUUAUAACAGCAGCGUGUGUACGGAAAUUCCGGGUUGUAUUUCCCUUAUAAGAGUUACCAAAUCAAACUUAUAAAUAACUACAUAUACAAUUUUAAGACUGUAAAUAACAAAAAAAAAAUU